rnacentral:tRNA from 2 species
AAAAUUAUAGUAUAAUUUUUAUUAUAUCUCAUUGUCGAUGGGGAGAUUUUUUAAUUUUA